rnacentral:lncRNA from 1 species
UUGGAACUUAGUGUAGUAGGCCCAAUUUGCCCGGGCCCAAAAAAAACCAAAAAAAUAAAAGAGUCCAAGUCCAAAUUAUUACAAACUCAAAAUAAAAACCCUAAGCCCAAUUAAUAGGCCUACAACCUAAUCUAAUUCAAAAACCCUCGGGUUUCUGAAUCCCAUGUGCGUCGCUGCCUUCAACCACGUCAGCACGCUCGUCCCGAGGCUCCCCG